rnacentral:lncRNA from 1 species
AUGUGCGAUUUGAUUAGUUUAGCAACCGUUAAGAGGACACCAGAGAGGAAGAUGACUCUACCACUGGGCCACAGCAGGACUCGGAUGCUCUUGUGUGGGUUCUCUACAAUGAUCAGCAGAACGUUACACACCAACCUUUUCAGCCGCCCUUUAUCCGUGCAGAAACUGGGGAGCAUAGAAUGUGUUGUCAACGUUGUAAGAAAGGAGCACAAGCCGGCUUCAAACAACAGGGGUGUGUUGUCUCGCGGUUCCGAGGCCCCGGCCUGCGAUCGUGGUAGCUGCAUGGCUGCCUCUUUCCACGGGUGCUUGGGAAGAACCACGGGCUCUUGGAAAGAAGCCGCCAGUCCUGGGCUCACGCUGCCCCCUGCCCCGCUCGCAGCUGUCUGUUGCUUUCUUCCCUUUGUGUCUCUGUGCUGUGACUGCUCCUCUUCCUGGAAGAGCAGCAUCGUGGGAGUGAGGGACGCCCUCACCCAGGAUCCAUUCACCCUACGCUGGUUAUUUCCAAAUCAGGCCACGUUCUGAAGUUUUGGAUGGAUGUGGGUUUUUGAGGAAGGGGCACUAUUCAACUGGGAACAACAACAAAGACCGCACGGGGAGCUGGUGCUCUGGUGUAGCAGGAAAAGCCACCACCUGCAAGGCCGGCAUCUCGCACGGGCACUGGCUCACGUCCUGGCUGCACCUUUUCUGACCCACCUCCCUGCUAAUGGCUGGGGAAGAGCAGCAGAGGGUGGAUGGCAAAAGUGCCUGGGCUCCUGCUACCCAUGUGGGAGACCCGGAUGAAGCUCCUGGUUCUUGGCUUCAGCCUGUCGCAGCACGGGCUGUUGUGGCCAUUAGGGAGUGAACCAGCAGGUGGGAGCUCUCUCUGUCUCCCCUCUUUCCCUCUCUCUCUUUCUGUAACUCUGACUUUCAAGUAAAUAAAUAUUUACAAAAGAAUGACCA